AUUCUACUCCCUCCGUCUCAAAAUAAGUGACUCAAAAAUGACUCAAUUUUACACUAUUUUAGUGCAAAAUUGAGUCACUUUAGAGUCAUUUAUUUUAGGACGGAUGGAGUAUAUC
rnacentral:pre_miRNA from 1 species